CAGGAAGCUGACGGAACUCUUCGGAGGGAAGGCAGUGGAAUGAGCGGCGGACGGGUGAGUAACACGUAAGGAACCUGCCUCAAGGAUUGGGAUAACUCCGAGAAAUCGGAGCUAAUACCGGAUAGUUCAACGGACCGCAUGGUCCGCUGAUGAAAGGCGCUUCGGCGUCACCUUGAGAUGGCCUUGCGGUGCAUUAGCUAGUUGGUGAGGUAACGGCCCACCAAGGCGACGAUGCAUAGCCGACCUGAGAGGGUGAUCGGCCACACUGGGACUGAGACACGGCCCAGACUCCUACGGGAGGCAGCAGUAGGGAAUCUUCCACAAUGGACGAAAGUCUGAUGGAGCAACGCCGCGUGAGUGAUGAAGGUUUUCGGAUCGUAAAACUCUGUUGUAAGGGAAGAACACGUACGAGAGGGAAUGCUCGUACCUUGACGGUACCUUACGAGAAAGCCACGGCUAACUACGUGCCAGCAGCCGCGGUAAUACGUAGGUGGCAAGCGUUGUCCGGAAUUAUUGGGCGUAAAGCGCGCGCAGGCGGCCUUUUAAGUCUGAUGUGAAAGCCCCCGGCUCAACCGGGGAGGGCCAUUGGAAACUGGAAGGCUUGAGUACAGAAGAGAAGAGUGGAAUUCCACGUGUAGCGGUGAAAUGCGUAGAGAUGUGGAGGAACACCAGUGGCGAAGGCGACUCUUUGGUCUGUAACUGACGCUGAGG
rnacentral:rRNA from 1 species